rnacentral:rRNA from 1 species
CAGCCGCCGCGGUAAUACGAAGGGUGCAAGCGUUAAUCGGAAUUACUGGGCGUAAAGCGUGCGUAGGCGGUGAGUUAAGUCUGCUGUGAAAUCCCCGGGCUCAACCUGGGAAUGGCAGUGGAUACUGGCUCGCUAGAGUGUGUCAGAGGAUGGUGGAAUUCCCGGUGUAGCGGUGAAAUGCGUAGAGAUCGGGAGGAACAUCAGUGGCGAAGGCGGCCAUCUGGGACAACACUGAUGCUGAGGCACGAAAGCGUGGGGAGCAAACAGGAUUAGAUACCCGCGUAGUCCCUGUCUCUUAUAC